rnacentral:rRNA from 1 species
AUUGAACGCUGGCGGCAGGCUUAACACAUGCAAGUCGAGCGGAGAGAGGUAGCUUGCUACUGUUCUUAGCGGCGGACGGGUGAGUAAUGCUUAGGAAUCUGCCUAUUAGUGGGGGACAACAUUUCGAAAGGAAUGCUAAUACCGCAUACGUCCUACGGGAGAAAGCAGGGGAUCUUCGGACCUUGCGCUAAUAGAUGAGCCUAAGUCGGAUUAGCUGGUUGGUGGGGUAAAGGCCUACCAAGGCGACGAUCUGUAGCGGGUCUGAGAGGAUGGUCCGCCACACUGGGACUGGGACACGGCGCAGACUCCUACGGGAGGCAGCAGUGGGGAAUAUUGGACAAUGGGCGGAAGCCUGAUCCAGCCAUGCCGCGUGUGUGAAGAAGGCCUUAUGGUUGUAAAGCACUUUAAGCGAGGAGGAGGCUACUUUAGUUAAUACCUAGAGAUAGUGGACGUUACUCGCAGAAUAAGCACCGGCUAACUCUGUGCCAGCCGCCGCGGUAA